CAGAACAAACAAACAAACACACAAACAAAAAGGAUCUGUCUGUGUAUGUUAAGCGGCUGAGUUGGGAGCUGAGAGACUAGGGAAGGGAGGAGGAGGCUGGCUGGUGCUGUGACCCACAUGAGAAGGAAUGAGUUCUGAGCUAGGGGACGAGGCUUUAGAGACGGAGACACCUUGAGAGUGAUUAUAUGGGAAUCCUCAGAUCGCUCUCUCUCUCUCUUUUAAUGCACGAGUGCCUGGUUUUAAUUCCCUGAUGAACUUCAGAGCUGCAGAAGAACUUCAGAGUGGGAAAAUAAUACUAGCAGCCGUUCCCAGGUGUCCCAUAUUGUCUGUGCAAAGGCAUUAUGCUUGGUCCUUUCAUACAUGAUUUUAUUUCAUCACCCUGAGCGGUAACAGAAUCAUUCCUGUUUUACAAGUGACAAUAUGAAACUGACUAAGAGUUCACAGCUCUAGGGCACGCUGGUAGCGUUGGACUGAGACUACAGUCCUCCCGACAUGCCAACAUCCCUCAACCCAAGGAGAUCCGUUUUCCGUUCCCGCCUUCGGAGGCCAGCGGCCCGCCCCACACUGCAUCUCGCUCCUGACGGCCCGUCUAGCCGCCCCGCGUCUCUAGUGUUUUCCCUUCUUGCCCAUCUACCCGCAGGCUUCCUCUCGUCUGCACUCUCACACUGGCCCCUCUACCCGCUCGCCUCUCUAUGGUUCCCCCAUCUCCCCAGGCCCAGCCGUCCGCCUUGUUAAAACUUCUCCUUCUCUAAGCUCCUCAGCAUUGGAGCCAGCGGGUCCUAGGCGGGUUGGGUCGGCUAUCCGGGCUGCCUCUCUGGUCCAGCCGAGAGGAAACGGCGGCCAGUGUGAGUGCUUUUAGGAAAGGCCCGGGCCGUGACUGGGGAGAGUCCCUGGGAAAAAGGAGCGCGUUUCGGGCCCUUUGCGAAAACGCUCCGGCUGGAAACACAAGGCUCCGAGAGGAAGGAGCCGCUCUCCGCUCUGACCCACCCCACCCCCUUCACGCUGGGAACCAACGGGGAGAUCGGGACGUGCCCACCUCAUCACACAGACGAAAACCUCAGGCGCCAGAAUGGGGAGGAACUCGCUCAGAACCAGCCAGGAGCCAGCUGGGGCUCCCGACUCUCGGUUCUGGGAACCUCCGUGUUUUUCUGUUUGAAGAUAGGCGGGAUCGAACAGGAAGGUUUGAGGAGGAUCUCUGAGGAUUACUAUUGGCGUAGGACUUCAGACGGCCAUUGUUACCAGCUACUUAUUCAUCUCUGUAUUCAUUUCACAUUCAAUACACUUAUGUGUUGAUUCACUAAUUCAA